UACGGGGGGGGCAAGCGUUGUUCGGAAUUACUGGGCGUAAAGGGCUCGUAGGUGGCCGACUAAGUCGGACGUGAAAUCCCUCGGCUUAACCGGGGAACUGCGUCCGAUACUGGAUGGCUUGAGUUUGGGAGAGGGACGCGGAAUUCCAGGUGUAGCGGUGAAAUGCGUAGAUAUCUGGAGGAACACCGGUGGCGAAGGCGGCGUCCUGGACCAAUACUGACACUGAUGAGCGAAAGCCAGGGGAGCAAACGGG
rnacentral:rRNA from 1 species